AAGAAGACAAAACCUGGGUUUUCGUGUCCAACGUUUGACUAUCUGUCUUAUAUGAAAUUUUUUAUAAUUAGUAUUUUCAUUGUUGUUAGAUGAUAAAAUAUGAUUAAUACUUUAUACGUGACUUGUCUUUUAAUUUUUUUUUCAUAAUUUUUUUAAAUAAGACAGACGGUCAAACAUUAAACACAAAAACCAUGGUU
rfam:Oryza sativa Japonica Group DNA, chromosome 1, cultivar: Nipponbare, complete sequence.